UACACACCGCCCGUCACACCAUGGAAGCCGGUAACACCCGAAGCCGGUGGCCCAACCCGCAAGGGAGGCAGCCAGCCACGGUGGGAUCAGCGACUGGGGUG
rnacentral:rRNA from 1 species